rnacentral:tRNA from 1 species
GGGGUUGUGGCUCAGUGGUAGAGCGCUCGACUGGCACCUGGGGGGCACUAGGUUCAAUCCUCAGCCCCA